CAGCGGUGGAGAGCACAACGGAAUGGAGAUCCCCGGCGCUGCGACGACGUGGACGCACACUCACACACACGGGAAAAGUGCCCGUGUGCAAGUCGCUGUCCUAGAAAAAAUGAAAAAUGAGAUGCUACGUAGGACAAAGCUAUGCAUAAGAUACACGUAGGUCCCACCACUUUACUUUUCACUGUCUUCUCCCCCUCUCUCUUUUUACUGUCUUCUCCCCUCUCUCUCCAACUCUCCCGAUCUAUCCUCUCUCUCGGUUGUGGCUCCGGCGGAGGCGGCAUUGGGGUGGCGGGCGACGUCGGCAGCGACGGGUC
rnacentral:lncRNA from 1 species